GAUGAACGCUGGCGGCGUGCCUAAUACAUGCAAGUCGAGCGAACAGACGAGGAGCUUGCUCCUCUGACGUUAUCGGCGGACGGGUGAGUAACACGUGGAUAACCUACCUAUAAGACUGGGGUAACUUCGGGAAACAGGAGCUAAGACCGGAUAAUAUAUUGAACCGCAUGGUUCAAUAGUUAAAUACGGUUUUGCUUUCACUUAUAGAUGGAUCCGCGCCGCAUUAGCUAGUUGGUAAGGUAACGGCUUACCAAGGCAACGAUGCGUAGCCGACCUGAGAGGGUGAUUGGCUAGACUGGAACUGAGACACGUUCGAGACUCUUACGGGAGGAAGCAGUAGAGAAUCUUACGCAAGGGGCGAAAGCCUGAUGGAGCACCGCCGCGUGAGUGAUGAAGGUCUACGGCUCGUAGAGCUCUGUAGGUAGGGGAGAACAAAUGUGUAAGUAACUAUGCACGUAUUGACGGUACCUAAUCAGAAAGCCACGGCUAACUCCGUG
rnacentral:rRNA from 1 species